CAAGCGCUGGGAGUGCUGAUCCCAGUGUGUGAAACACAGCGUAGUGAUCAUCAUGUGCUGGAUGGUGGUGGGCUAAUUAUCAGUACAACUGAUCAGUGCCACUAUCUCUGGAGUACAACUGAACUGAGUAACUGGGUUAACUUUCAGAACACUUAAUGAAAUGAAUCAAUGUAGAAUGUGAGACGUUCACAUCAAUCAAUUUAUGUCCAUUUGUCGAUUUUGAUUAUGUUUACUCUACUUUUUUAUUGCGAAUGCUGUCAUGUGUUAUGAGCAUACUGCAGAUUCAAUCACACCAGUGUGUUUAGAAUGUUGCAGAAUGAUUGUUUAUUUGGGUCCAUCGAAUAUAUAAAGAACUGAAUCAGUCUUAUCUUGUUCAUGAACCCAUUUGUAGGUUAAUUUGUGUUUUACAGAUGUUAGUUUUCUUUUUGCUGUGUGUAAGUUUGAUAUGACUCCUUUGAGUUGCACAGGUCUUAUGACUGCAAUAUGCAUUUUGGUGUGUGGGUACGACUGGAAUUAGUCCAUUGUGUGAUUUGAUCAGGAGCUUGUGUAAAUGGUCAAAGCCUCUCCUCCCAUCAAUCUGUAACUGUAGCCUGAUGUCACCUUAACUACGCCCCCUUGCCUAGUGAACAAAGACACGUCUUGGUAGAAACCAGUCUGGUCAUGUAUUUUAGAAUAAUGGGACUAUAUGUGUGAAAUGAAUUGAGUUUGUAAUAAGAAGGAGCCUUGCCCUACAGAUCUUUGAAUUUGUGGUGUUUGUAACUUUCCUGAAAAUAAAGCUUGCAGUCUCA